rnacentral:rRNA from 1 species
GAUGAACGCUGGCGGCGUGCCUAAUACAUGCAAGUCGAGCGAACAGACGAGGAGCUUGCUCCUCGGACGUUAGCGGCGGACGGGUGAGUAACACGUGGAUAACCUACCUAUAAGACUGGUAUAACUUCGGGAAACCGGAGCUAAUACCGGAUAAUAUAUUGAACCGCAUGGGUCAAUAGUGAAAGACGGUUUUGCUGUCACUUAUAGCUGGAUCCGCGCCGCAUUAGCUAGUUGGUAAGGUAACGGCUUACCAAGGCAACGAUGCGUAGCCGACCUGAGAGGGUGAUCGGCCACACUGGAACUGAGACACGGUCCAGACUCCUACGGGAGGCAGCAGUAGGGAAUCUUCCGCAAUAGGCGAAAGCCUGACGGAGCAACGCCGCGUGAGUGAUGAAGGUCUUCGGAUCGUAAAACUCUGUUAUUAGGGAAGAACAAAUGUGUAAGUAACUAUGCACGUCUUGACGGUACCUAAUCAGAAAGCCACGGCUAACUACGUG